rnacentral:rRNA from 1 species
GGAGACUUCAACCUCAUCUAUGAAGCUAGAGACAAGAAUAACCUCAACCUCAACCGAAGUCCUAUGGGAAAAUUCAGAGCUGCAAUCAACUAUGCUGAGCUGUUUGAGAUUAAAUGCAAUAACCGAAAGUUCACUUGGAGCAACGAGCAGGCCUCCCCGAUGCUGGUCACACUUGAUCAUGUCUUCUGUAACCCUUCUUGGGACUCGCUGAGGGAGUCCUGGAUUAGGGGGUCCUCAGGUGUCCGCACUAUUUGA